UCCAGUAUGUGAUGAUUGCUUUGCAAUGGGAAUCUCUCUGAAACAAUGUAAAUGGAGAUAUGCAAUUUCUGAUACUGGA